rnacentral:rRNA from 1 species
GAUGAACGCUGGCGGCGUGCCUAAUACAUGCAAGUCGAACGCUGGAACUCUAGCUUGCUAGAUUGAAGGGGUGGCGAACGGGUGAGUAAUACAUAAGCAACCUACCCACGAAGACUGGGAUAAUCUCUGGAAACGGGGACUAAUACCGGAUAGGUAAUCGGAAGGCAUCUUCUGAUUAUUAAAGGUUAAAAACACUGGUGGAUGGGCUUAUGGCGCAUUAGUUAGUUGGUGAGGUAACGGCCCACCAAGACGAUGAUGCGUAGCCGGCCUGAGAGGGUGAACGGCCACAUUGGGACUGAGACACGGCCCAGACUCCUACGGGAGGCAGCAGUAGGGAAGUUUCGGCAAUGGGGGAAACCCUGACCGAGCAACGCCGCGUGAGUGAUGACGGCCUUCGGGUUGUAAAGCUCUGUUGUAAGGGAAGAACGGUAGAUAGAGAAUAUCUAAAUGACGGUACCUUACCAGAAAGCCACGGCUAACUACGUG